UACAGAGGUCUCAAGCGUUGUUCGGAUUCAUUGGGCGUAAAGGGUGCGUAGGCGGCGCGGUAAGUCGGGUGUGAAAUCUCGGAGCUUAACUUCGAAACUGCAUUCGAUACUGCCGUGCUUGAGGACUGGAGAGGAGACUGGAAUUUACGGUGUAGCGGUGAAAUGCGUAGAUAUCAGGAGGAACACCGGUGGCGAAGGCGGGUCUCUGGGCCGUAACUGACGCUGAGGAGCGAAAGCAUGGGGAGCGAACAGG
rnacentral:rRNA from 1 species